UUCUGUUUCCCUCGUGCGAGGAGCACAGCAGCUCUCUCUUAAACAUCUUAGUCACCGUGAGUUCGAGCUAAAUAAUCAUUUGUUUCAUUUUUUUUUUUUUUUCAAACAUCUGAAUGCACUUGGGGCGUUAGACCUUCCCGAGGCAGCAGCUUCACUGCGGGGCAGCCGCCUCCAGGGCCCCUUAAGCGAGGCCAUGAAGGAGGAGUGAGUCACCAACCGCGACAUCCUCCUUUCCUGUUCACAGAGAGAGCGACCCGGGCUGUCACUAGGAGAUGCUGGGGCAAUUUUUCACGGGAGUCAUAUGUGGAAUUGAAGAAAGGAAACCUAUGAAUGUAUGGGAAGAGGGAAAGAAAACAAUGAAAGAGGGAAACAAGCCAUAACAGGCUCUUUAAUGACCGAGAACUGCGGGUUGAUAGAGGGAGAUGCUUGGUGAAUGGCCGGAUGGAUUAAGUUCUACUUGAGAGGAUCACUUGAGAUCCUCAGUCAAGAGUCCACCACCGGGUUGAUGCCUUAAGUAUGUGUCCCUGAGAGGAGAGGUCCUAAGGGGAGGAGUGAGAGAAGAUAGAAGUGCAGCUGCACCAAGAAGUAACAGGCAGGUCCUUAAAAAUUCCGUGCUGGACCUUGGGAUCGAGAUCCCGUAGCGAGCCCUACAGUCUCAGAGAAGAACACGGGAGGGGACGGCAUGCUGGGUAUCGUCCAGCCACAAGUCCCCGCCUCUGGCGCUUCCUGAAGGACCAGAACAGAACCUACUACUGAGUGAGCCUCAGCCACCGUCUUCAUUUACACAUUUACCACAUUGUCAGCCACCUGAAUUAAUAUCUUAUAAGAACCAAUGCUUGGCUAUAUUAAUUUUCUUGAUCUUUUCUGGUCUAUUUUACUGUUCAUCUCUUUGCUGUUGACUCUUCUGUUUUGUCUGUUUACCUGUGUUUCGUAGCAAAGUCAAAUUUGUGUGUUGACUUCUGCUUACGGCGUCAUUAUUUCUAUAUACUAUUAAUUGUUCGCUUUGCUCCUUUUUUUCUAAUGUCCUAAGACAUGCAUUUAUAUCAAUUGUAUUAGGACUCUCUUCUUUCAAAUUAAAACACUUAACAGUAACAAUUUUUUUUUUCCUGUCAGCACUACUUUUGCUUUGUUGCCUACGUUGUAUGGUGUAGAUUUUAUUGUCCCUAAUCAUCUUUGGCAUGUAUUAAGUUAUGGCUUAUUUUAAAAUGUGUCACAUAGGGGAUCCCCGGGGGGCUCAGCGGUUUAGUGCCGCCUUCAGCCCAGGGCCUGAUCCUGGAGACCUGGGAUCGAGUCCCACGUCGGGCUCCCUGCGUGGAGCCUGCUUCUCCCUCUGCCUGUGUCUCUGCCUCUCUCUCUCUCUGUGUUUCUCAUAUAUAAAUAAAUAAAAUCUUUUUUUAAAAAAAGUGUCACAUAGUUUCAAGCAAGUUGAAAAUGUCCUGGAUAUCAUAUUGUUGAUUUCUAAUUUAGUCCAGUGGUGGUCAUUAAAUAUACGCUAAGAUCCCAGAGGUGAGUUUUACGGAGACUCACUGUAAGUCCCUGCAUAUAUCUCACUUUGGUGAGCAUUCCACGUACACCUGAAGAGAAUAUGUAGUAGUUGGUUGUUUUUACGAUGUUCUUUAUAUGAAAAUUAGAUCAUAUUGGUUGAAUGUAGGCCUACAAUUUUUCAGUUUCUUUUUUUUUUUCUUUUUUUUUUUUUUAGAAUUUUUCCGUUUCUUUUCUGGUGAUUUUCGUCUCGUCCUAUCAAUUCCUACAUCAGAGCUUUUAAAUAUCUGUGAUUGUUGAUUUAUCUUAUACUGCACUAAUGCUACUGGGUUUUGCUUUAUAAUUGGAAAUUUAAUUUGAUGCUUUUCUUGAGUUAUUAUGAAUUUCCAAUAAAUUGGCCACGGUAUUUCCCAA